rnacentral:lncRNA from 1 species
CGCCCCGCUCCGGUUUCUGCCAGGCUUUCUCGGAAACACCGCCUAAGCGCUUCCAGCCCAAACUACUCGGGCUGGGCGGAGGGCGUGAGAGAGGGAGCGGGAGCCCGAGAGGCACCCUGGGAUCUCUCUCUAGUUGGGGAAGCGGGAGCGGGGUCCUCGGCUGCUCGGCGGCGGUUCGGCCGGACCCCGCUGCGGGCUCCGAGCUGGAGCAGGCGGCGGAGGCCUCGGCGGGAAAGGCUCGAGGAACAUUCGAAUGCUCUAUCCCCGGUUUGCCACCUUUGGCUCAGUCCGAGUGCAAUUCGGAGUUUGUUCUGCUCUAAACCGGGAGUUUCGGAGGGCGGGCGGGGGUGGGGGUUCUUGACAGCCUGCAAAGCCGAGCGGCCGGAAGACGGUGGUGCUGGGAGCAGAGCGCCACGCCUCCCGUCCCCGCCGCGGGAGACCCGGGAGUCUCGACCGGCCGGCGCCGGGAAGCGCGAGGAGACGGGCCACGGCUACCAGGGGUGAAGAGUCUCCACACACUCAAGAAAGCAUAUUUUUCCAUACGUUGACAAAGA